rnacentral:lncRNA from 1 species
AGGGAUGUUUUGAGGUGUUUUUAGGAGGUUUUGGGGGUAUGUUUAGAGUUAUGUUCUUGUUGUUUGGUGCCUCAUUUGAGUCCACCUGUGUAGGUUCGGACCCGAGGAACCGAGACCCCCGGUUGUGAGAUAGUCGUUCAGAGUCCGUUGAUAAAGCUUCAGUCACCAGGUGAGUGGAACAACUCCUUAAGCUUUAAAGUAAAGUAAAUGAAUAAAUGAAUGAAUCUGAUAGCAUACUCAUGCAUCAUUA